AUGGAGGCGUCCUCGCCAUGGAGCCCCAAGAACUCGAGAGCCUUGGUCCCGGAAUCCACGGUGGUAACUGCGGAAACAAAGAGACUCUGCCUCAGAUGCCAUGCCACAGCAGGAACACAACUUCCUAUGCUGCAAAUGAAAUUGAUUGAUACUACCUUGGAAAGAAGAUGUCUUGAGGAGCCUCUCAAUGAGCUUCCUGUCAAGGACGCUGUCAUCCACGGCCAAGACAUGGAACGGAGACUCCGCGAUCGCCACCGCCAUCGGAGAAAAAAAGAGAGAGCGUGUGUUUUGUGUGAUGGAGGAGGAUGCUAUUAG
rnacentral:rRNA from 1 species